rnacentral:lncRNA from 1 species
GUGGCUCUGGUUGUGGUAGGGCCCUCGACCGAUCUUUCCUACCUUCAGAUCAGCGUCGGAUGAAUCUGUUGAGCCGACCUCGUCUGAUGAGAUCCUCGAUCUCAUCUCGAAGCUAAAUACACUCCUCCAUGUCGUGGCCGUGGUCACGAUGAUAGAGGCAGAACUUGUUAGGGUUAUGCUUCCUGGGGUGUGUGCGCAUCUUUUUUGACCUUGGCAGCUGCUC